GAUGAACGCUGGCGGCGUGCCUAAUACAUGCAAGUCGAACGAAGAUCUAGCUUGCUAGAUCUUAGUGGCGAACGGGUGAGUAAUACAUAAAUAAUCUGCUCAUAUGACUGGGAUAACUAUUGGAAACGAUAGCUAAUACCGGAUAGGUUGAUCGGAGGCAUCUCUGAUGAAUUAAAGUAGGAUUUCUACACAAAUGGAUGAGUUUAUGGCGCAUUAGUUAGUUGGUGGGGUAACGGCCUACCAAGACGAUGAUGCGUAGCCGACCUGAGAGGGUGACCGGCCACACUGGGACUGAGACACGGCCCAGACUCCUACGGGAGGCAGCAGUAGGGAAUUUUCGGCAAUGGGCGCAAGCCUGAACCAGCAAUGCCGCGUGAGUGAUGAAGGCCUUCGGGUUGUAAAGCUCUGUCAGAGGGAACGAAAAAACUGCGUAACGAGCAGUCUUGACGGUACCCUCAAAGGAAGCACCGGCUAACUCUGUGCCAGCCGCCGCAGUAA
rnacentral:rRNA from 1 species